rnacentral:rRNA from 1 species
GACGAACGCUGGCGGCGUGCUUAACACAUGCAAGUCGAACGGAAAGGCCCUUCGGGGUACUCGAGUGGCGAACGGGUGAGUAACACGUGGGUGAUCUGCCCUGCACUUUGGGAUAAGCCUGGGAAACUGGGUCUAAUACCGAAUAUGAUCAUCAGCUUCAUGGUUGGUGGUGGAAAGCUUUUGCGGUGUGGGAUGGGCCCGCGGCCUAGCAGCUUGUUGGUGGGGUAAUGGCCUACCAAGGCGACGACGGGUAGCCGGCCUGAGAGGGUGACCGGCCACACUGGGACUGAGAUACGGCCCAGACUCCUACGGGAGGCAGCAGUGGGGAAUAUUGCACAAUGGGCGCAAGCCUGAUGCAGCGACGCCGCGUGAGGGAUGACGGCCUUCGGGUUGUAAACCUCUUUCAGCACAGACGAAGCGCAAGUGACGGUAUGUGCAGAAGAAGGACCGGCCAACUACGUGCCAGCAGCCGCGGUAA